rnacentral:rRNA from 1 species
GAUGAACGCUGGCGGUCUGCUUAACACAUGCAAGUCGAACGGAAGUAGCAAUACUUUAGUGGCGGACGGGUGAGUAACACGUAAGAAUCUGCCUCCAGGACGGGAAAAACAGUUGGAAACGACUGCUAAUUCCGGAUGAGCCGAAAGGUAAAAAGAAAUUCGCCUGGAGAUGAGCUUGCGGCUGAUUAGCUAGUUGGUAGGGUAAGAGCCUACCAAGGCGACGAUCAGUAGCUGGUCUGAGAGGAUGAGCAGCCACACUGGGACUGAGACACGGCCCAGACUCCUACGGGAGGCAGCAGUGGGGAAUUUUCCGCAAUGGGCGAAAGCCUGACGGAGCAAGACCGCGUGGGGGAGGAAGGUUCUUGGAUUGUCAACCCCUUUUCUCAAGGAAGAAGAUCUGACGGUACUUGAGGAAUCAGCAUCGGCUAACUCCGUGCCAGCAGCCGCCGUAACAC